rnacentral:rRNA from 1 species
UGAGGAAUAUUGGUCAAUGGGCGCAAGCCUGAACCAGCCAUCCCGCGUGCAGGAAGACGGCCCUAUGGGUUGUAAACUGCUUUUCCAGGGGGAGAAUUUUUCUGUCGUGACAGGAAUUGACGGUACCCUGGGAAUAAGCAUCGGCCAACUCCGUGCCAGCAGCCGCGGUAAUACGGAGGAUGCGGGCGUUAUCCGGAUUUAUUGGGUUUAAAGGGUGCGUAGGCGGAUUGAUAAGUCAGUGGUGAAAACCUGCAGCUUAACUGUAGACUUGCCGUUGAUACUGUCAGUCUUGAGUGUGGUCAAGGUAGGCGGAAUGUGUAAUGUAGCGGUGAAAUGCUUAGAUAUUACACAGAACACCGAUUGCGAAGGCAGCUUACUGGGCCAUUACUGACGCUGAUGCACGAAAGCGUGGGGAUCGAA